rnacentral:rRNA from 1 species
CCUACGGGAGGCUGCAGUGGGGAAUAUUGGACAAUGGGGGCAACCCUGAUCCAGCCAUGCCGCGUGUGUGAAGAAGGCCCUCGGGUUGUAAAGCACUUUCAGUGAGGAAGAACGCCUGGUGGUUAAUACCCAUCAGGAAAGACAUCACUCACAGAAGAAGCACCGGCUAACUCCGUGCCAGCAGCCGCGGUAAUACGGAGGGUGCGAGCGUUAAUCGGAAUUACUGGGCGUAAAGCGCGCGUAGGUGGCUUGAUAAGCCGGUUGUGAAAGCCCCGGGCUCAACCUGGGAACGGCAUCCGGAACUGUCAAGCUAGAGUGCAGGAGAGGAAGGUAGAAUUCCCGGUGUAGCGGUGAAAUGCGUAGAGAUCGGGAGGAAUACCAGUGGCGAAGGCGGCCUUCUGGACUGAAACUGACACUGAGGUGCGAAAGCGUGGGUAGCAAACAGGAUUAGAUACCCCUGUAGUC